GAUGAACGCUGGCGGCGUGCCUAAUACAUGCAAGUCGAGCGAACAGACGAGGAGCUUGCUCCUCUGACGUUAGCGGCGGACGGGUGAGUAACACGUGGAUAACCUCCCUAUAAGACUGGGAUAACUUCGGGAAACCGGAGCUAAUACCGGAUAAUAUAUUGAACCGCAUGGUUCAAUAGUGAAAGACGGUUUUGCUGUCACUUAUAGAUGGAUCCGCGCCGCAUUAGCUAGUUGGUAAGGUAACGGCUUACCAAGGCAACGAUGCGUAGCCGACCUGAGAGGGUGGUCGGCCACACGGGAACUGAGACACGGUCCAGACUCCUACGGGAGGCAGCAGUAGGGAAUCUGCCGCAAUGGGCGAAAGCCUGACGGAGCAACGCCGCGUGAGUGAUGAAGGUCUUCGGAUCGUAAAACUCUGUUAUUAGGGAAGAACAAAUGUGUAAGUAACUAUGCACGUCUUGACGGUACCUAAUCAGAAAGCCACGGCUAACUACGUG
rnacentral:rRNA from 1 species